rnacentral:rRNA from 1 species
UGACCGCUGGCGGCGUGCCUACCACAUGCAAGUCGAGCGGCAGCGAGGGGUGCUUGCACCCUGUCGGCGAGCGGCGGACGGCUGAGUAACGCGUGGGAACGUGCCCCAAAGUGAGGAAUAACUGCCCGAAAGGGUAGCUAAUACCGCAUAUUAUCUUCGGAUCAAAGGAUUUAUCCGCUUUGGGAGCGGCUCGCGUCGGAUUAGGUAGUUGGUGAGGUAAUGGCUCACCAAGCCGACGAUCCGUAGCUGGUCUGAGAGGAUGACCAGCCAGACUGGAACUGAGACACGGUCCAGACUCCUACGGGAGGCAGCAGUGAGGAAUCUUCCACAAUGGGCGAAAGCCUGAUGGAGCAACGCCGCGUGCAGGACGAAGGCCUUCGGGUUGUAAACUGCUUUUAUAAGUGAGGAAUAUGACGGUAACUUAUGAAUAAGGAUCGGCUAACUACGUG